GCUUCCCAACCAUUUUUUUUUACUUAUGGCGAUCUUUAAAUGGCAGAGACUCAUUCAUUCAUAAUCCAAGAGAGAAGUGUGAUUCACAGGGAUUCUUUUAUCGUGUGAUACAUGAUAAAUACAUCCAAUAUUAUAUGUCAAUUUAAAAAGUAAGUAACUUUAAAAAAUGAUAAUUACUUUAAACCUAGCUUGUCCAACCCACAGGUGACAGGCCACAUGCAGCACAGGACAGCUUUGAACAUGCCCCAAUACAAAUUUGUAAACUUUCUCAAAACAUUAUGAGAUUUUUUGUAAUUUUUUUACCUCAUCAGCUAGUUCUAGUGUUAGUGUAUUUUAUGUGCAGCUCAAGACAACUCUCCUUCUUUGAAUAUAGCCCAGGGAAGCCAAAAGAUUGGACCUCCCUGCUUUAGACCAAAGGAAAAAGACACCCCACAUUUGCAAUGCUUAAAAACACUACCAGCCAUGCAGGGAACAUGAGACUGUCAACUUCCAAUCCUUCUUGAAGCAGUUAAAUUCGCUGGUGAUAUCUGAGGGGUGUGGUUACUUCUUGGAGGAGGUUGAGGGUUUCUAAGGAUGAGUCUUUGUGACUGAAAUAUUGUCAAUGUCAUUGAGCCUUCUCAUUAUUUCAACUCUUAUUAUUCCAGGUCAUCAGUGUUCUGCCGGACCGUUUUCAACCCGGCCUGACUUUCCUGGAAUUCCCUGGAUGCUUGUUAUUGUUUCCCUGGGAAUUUGUUCACUUGGCAUUUUCUUCUGGAAAACUAGCCUUGGUAGUUUCCAUAUUUGCAACAGAAAAUGUGCCCUGGCUGUGAGGUAGUGAAGAGUGAAUGCCAUUCAUUACCUACAAGGACAAUUCCCAGUGAAGACCUUCAGUGAUGCUCAGGGAAGCUGGUCCUCAUGUGGCCUCUGUAGUCUCGACAGCUGCUGCGUCCUCUGAUGACACGUGAUGGGACUUGUACACUUGAAAUCAAACACACUUUUAAAACUUCUGUUGUUUAGAAUUCCCCCCUCAUUUUUCCGUGGACAACCUUAUUUUUUAUGUCUUAGUGCACUGAAAAUUUGGUAUUACCUGGGAGUUAAAAGCAACAUGAUAGCUGUGCCCCGGAUGUGUGAAGGCUUUGGAUCAGGAUCUCUGCCUGGUUCCUCACACAAUAACAGAGGAGAUGGCUGAAACGCUGCCUUCUGGGAGUUUAUAAACCAUGGUCGCUGCCUAUUUUCAGGAGGAAAUGCUCCUGGAGCUGAGAGGGCUGUGCUGCCCUGUGAGGCUCCCAUCCCCUUAGUUGCCAGCCCACCAUCUUCCCUGGGGACCACACGCUGUGCAAAUCCACCAUCCAUCCAUUACCGUCCAUUAUCAGAUGGAAGCUUUCCAGCCCCCUGGUGAGAAGCCAGAGAGCACUAAUGUCCACAUGGGGACAAAAUUAUUGACCAUGAACUGAGGAAAUGUAUUUUUUUUUGCUUCUUCCCACUUUGAUCGGAAUUACUAACUUGAUCAACAUGAAAUUAAAAUGAAACACUUGAGGAAGAAUCUCUUGAAGUCCAUUUUUUUAUCGCUGGGCUGAGACCAUAUUAUGCAGUCAAAAUGCCAGGUUAUUUCAAAUUAGUCAAAUUAACAAAUCUAACUCAGUCCUUGGCUAUAUUAUUCAUCUGUUUUAGGAUAUGAUGAGAGAAAGUGUGUGACUUUUUCAGCAAGUUACACAUUAGAAAAUCGAGACGAGAUGUCCAAGUUCACAGUCAUCUCAUCAUGAUCGAACAGAGGGAUAAUCACAGGAAAACUUUGUUGCUUCCCUGGAACACUGAAUUUCUAUGUAAUCAGGUAAAAUUAGGCCAUUUCAGUUGUCACCUGCCUACACAGGGUGUGGCUAUAGCUGUCAUUUAUAAAGAAGGGGCGGUGUGGAGGGGUAGAAGCCACUGGAGAGCAGCUGUGGCUGGUGCUUACUUCCGGGCUCCUGGCAGGGUCUGAGCUGGGUGCCAAGUGCAGCAGUGGAAAAUGGCCUGGACUCUGUGCCGAGGGCUCCGACCUCUUCCCCAGCUUGGCUAUCAUCUUGAGUCAACACCGCUGGGCCUCAGUUCCCCAGAGGGCUGUGCUGCCCUGUGAGGCUCCCAUCCCCGUAGUUGCCAGCCUGUUGCAGGUCCUGUUGGAAUUUGGAAUCGGGGACUGGAAAGGACUCAGGGGUUUAUACCGUUGCACUGAUUUACAAGAAGUGUUGACAGCUAGAAGGCGGAUCUAAGUUCAGGGACCCCACACAGCUGUGUGGAGACUCACCUGGGGCCCUGAGCAGGGUCUCCCACUCCAGAGACUGUGGGAGUGCCGUGCCUCCCAGGGAGAUGGCUGCUCUAUCAUCUGGGUGCUCAGUCCCACCCUUGGAGACUCUCCUUGUGAUGUUUCAAACCAGCCCAGCAAUGGUCCUGGGUCCUGAAGAGUCUUUGUCAACAAUAGGCAACCCGUUUGGGAUAUUGGACUGCCCAGACCAGGCAGUUUCUUUCCAGAGGCAACGUGGCUUUGUCCUCACUGAGCGUGGAAAGUCCAGCCCUGCCAUUCUUUAACUCGGCAACCUUGGGGAUGUUGCUGGCUGCUCUGAGCCUUGGGUCUCCAUUGGUUUCCUCAGUGAGAAUCAGCACAGACAACUGUAUUCAAGGCAUUUGGUAACCAGGAAAGGUGUAAAUAAAUAUCUGGCAUUAUUAUGACACCAGGGGCAAUUAUUUCUGCUGCAAAGAUGGAGAUGUUUAUUAACUUGGAUCACAGCUAGCUUUCUGAGAUUUUAUAAUCAUUGUAACUAUAUCACUUUUUAAAAUAUAUCAUUCCUUACUCAGCUUAUUGCUUGACAGGUUUCAUUUAAUGUCGUUUUGUAUUUAUAAAAUUCUAUUACCUAUGUGAUCUCAUGUAAUCCCCACGGCAACACUGUGAAGAGGUGCCAUCACUUCUAUUUGCAGAGGAACAUGAUGCCCCAUGAGGUUUAAGGUUGUGUCCAAGGUCACACAGCAGCACAGCUAGAGCCAAAUGCAAGAUUCCCAAAUUCCAGGCCAGUGACCUCUAUGGCAAACCCCCAAACCUGAACUUCCUCAGACUGGAAGAUUCCCA
ensembl:lncRNA